AUCCAGGGAUGGGAAUCGAACCCACAGUGUUCCGCUUACCGGGCAGAUGCCAUGUCCACUAGGCUACCCUAGA